rnacentral:tRNA from 1 species
GCUGUGGCUCAGUGGUAGAGCACUUGCUUAGCAUGUGUGAGGCACUGGGUUCGAUCCUUAGCACAACA